rnacentral:rRNA from 1 species
GUCCACGCCGUAAACGUUGGGCGCUAGGUGUGGGGGACUUUCCACGUCCUCCGUGCCGCAGCUAACGCAUUAAGCGCCCCGCCUGGGGAGUACGGCCGCAAGGCUAAAACUCAAAGGAAUUGACGGGGGCCCGCACAAGCGGCGGAGCAUGUGGCUUAAUUCGACGCAACGCGAAGAACCUUACCAAGGCUUGACAUACGCAGAAAUCCGGCAGAGAUGUCGGGUCCGCAAGGGCUGCGUACAGGUGGUGCAUGGUUGUCGU